rnacentral:rRNA from 1 species
UACGUAGGGUGCAAGCGUUAAUCGGAAUUACUGGGCGUAAAGCGCACGUAGGCGGAUUUGUAAGUCAGGGUGAAAUCCCGGGGCUCAACCUCGGAACUGCCUUUGAUACUGCAAAUCUCGAGUCCGAUAGAGGUGGGUGGAAUUCCUAGUGUAGAGGUGAAAUUCGUAGAUAUUGGGAAGAACACCGAUGGCGAAGGCAGCCAUCUGGACCGACACUGACGCUGAGGCGCGAAAGCGUGGGGAGCAAACAGG